rnacentral:lncRNA from 1 species
AACAGUUUUUAGAACAAAAAUCAAAAGUGGUUACUAUGGAUACAAAUAAAUAAAAAUAAUACAUAAAUACCAUAAAAUAACGAAGAUAAAACAAAAAAACUAAACAUGGUGGCCUGUAGGGUUGCAAUAGAGGCCUUUUUACGUAGGUAAGGCGUAAAAAAUGAACUUGGGAGCGCGGACGCUCUGGUGCUGGGUGUUGGCUCUACUGGGGAGGUGCCUCCAAGAGGCUGGUGGUUCCUGUGCUGGGUGGUUGUUUGGGAGACGUUCCUGGUUCUGUCUUCUAAAGAUUUCUAUAGCUUUUACUUUUACUUCAAAAGAGCUACUGCCUACACCACUAACCAUGAAGAUUUACAAUUGGAACUUGAAUACAUCUAUAGUACUGGCAGGCUAUAUGGUUACAGUAAAAGCUUUUUGAAUGCUAUUUAUCGUAAGGUACUUAAAGAUGCUAAUAUGCAAAAGGAGAAGUUACCGACGAGUAGCGAAUAUGAGUCAUUGCCAUUUGCUAUGAGUAAAUAUAAAACU